rnacentral:rRNA from 1 species
AACGAACGCUGGCGGCAGGCCUAACACAUGCAAGUCGAGCGAGCAUUUCGGUGCUAGCGGCGGACGGGUGAGUAACGCGUGGGAACGUGCCCUUUUCUGCGGAAUAGUCCUGGGAAACUGGGGGUAAUACCGCAUACGCCCUUUUGGGGAAAGAUUUAUCGGAGCAGGAUCGGCCCGCGUUGGAUUAGGUAGUUGGUGGGGUAAUGGCCCACCAAGCCGACGAUCCAUAGCUGGUUUGAGAGGAUGAUCAGCCACACUGGGACUGAGACACGGCCCAGACUCCUACGGGAGGCAGCAGUGGGGAAUCUUAGACAAUGGGGGCAACCCUGAACGAGCCAUGCCGCGUGAGUGAUGAAGGCCUUAGGGUUGUAAAGCUCUUUCAGCUGGGAAGAUAAUGACGGUACCAGCAGAAGAAGCCCCGGCUAACUCCGUG